CAACUGCAUCAGUGUCUCCACUGGACAGGGAGCUCAAUCAGAAAUCAUUAUUAGACAUCAAAGCAUAUUAAACUCAAAAACACUUAAAAUAUGAAAAAUUUAGACGCUGAUUAAUACCAAAAAAGAGAAAAAUAAUAACCAAUGCUCUGAUAGAAAUAAUAGGCAAGUCGUGAAUCGGAAACAAUAACAGCUGCCCUCUUUUUCCUUACAGAAAGCAUACUUUAAUGCUCAUCAUUGAUGAUAAAAAGUAAAAACCAUACAUAUGUGCAUCAAAAUAGUUCUUGAAGUUUAUUAGACUAAGAAGACUUUUGUUUGUGUUAUAAACAGUCAUUUUCUUAUGAAUUAUACAUCACAUAUAUACUUCUAAAUAUGGCCGCAUUUUGACUUUGAUGCUUCUUCACCAAUAGGUUAACAUGGAUCAUGAACCUAAACCAAACAAAAGAGGUAUGUAUGCUGAUGUUCCUGCUUCUGCUACAAACAAGAUAGUUCUCAUCUAACAAAAUCAUCACAUUCUUCAAACUCCAUCUAUUGAAAAUAAGCUGCACAUCUGUGCUUAGAGAUUACUUGAUUCACCUCAGAAGCACGGGAAGAAAAAAAUGUUUUAGUGCCCUUUCUUGGCUUCCAUAUUUAGCUCGAAGGCAAACUUUUAGCCCCUAAACCCCACCAAAU
rnacentral:misc_RNA from 1 species